rnacentral:lncRNA from 1 species
UUUAGAUAUAACCUUUUUCCCUUCUGUUUAAACACGUCUGUUGGUCCAUCCUUUCUUAUAAAAAUAUUUAAAGUCUCAUCUAAUUUCAUUCUCACCAACUUGGACUCCAAACUCACUUCAGAGCACUUGGCAUUUCCCAGGCUUACCAAAGUAUGUUUAGACCUGUGGAAAUUUUCUGCUGUCUGUCCAAGAGCCUACCCCCUACCAAACACUCCUAACAAAAUCUUACUGAAAUCUACAACUUCCAGAUCAAAUGCUACUCCCUGAGAACCUUUGCUCAUCUCCAUCCUCUAAGUAGAUAUUCAGUCCUGUGUUGCCCAAGUAGCCAGCCCAGGAAGAUGUUGGAUUAAUAAUAUAGUUGAAUAUUGGUGUUCAUGGGAGCCUAUCAAGUCUGAUUCUUUUGCCUAACAUGAAUGAGAUAACUGUUUCCAUUUGUUUGUUUUUAGCAAAAGUAUUAGCGUUAGAGUAGGCAGAUAGAUAUACGUGAGCAGGAGAGGAAGCCCUGAGAAAAGAAGGUCUGGGAAGCCUCACUCACUCCCAGGGACCACCCAAAAUCUGCAUGUUAAUAGUAUCUCUAAUGAUGAAGUGGGCGGGCAAUUAGUCAAGUGUAAGCAAGGAAAAGAGAAAAUACCUAUGCAAAAAGGAACGCCUCUUAAGAUGCCCAGUAACGGCUCACUCUGCAGUCAAACCGUCAAACUGUAGCUAGCUACAUACUGAUAUGGAGGAGAAAGGGCAAAGGAGAAUUUCCUAAGAAAUGCACAUGUGCAACAAGUAUAGAUUUAACAGCUAUAUAACCUUCCUUGGGUAGCAGUAAUUAGCAAGGCAACCAUCACCUAAAAUUUGUAGUCAACACAAGCUGAAGCAUGCUCAUUAAUCAAUAGUAAGGGAGAGUCCCACAAACCUGGGAUGGGAACUAUGUGGAGAAAGGCAGAAAUGGAAAAAACUAGACAAAAGAAGCCCAGACCGAGGUGUUGAUAACAAAACACUGCCUACUGAUCUGCAUGAGACACUCCAUCUCAGAGUCUACUUCCUGAAGAACUCAACAAGUAACAACUCGUACUAGGAACAAUUCAAAGCAGCAGGAGAUUCAUAGGAAUUUGGAAAAUAUGCUUAUUCACCAUCAAGCUAGCAAUAGGAUCCUAAUAUUUAAUUUGAUGGGUACAGAUAGACUCUGGUACAAAAUGGUAGUCUAGUUGUUAAAAGUUCCACUAGUGUGUAUUGGAAUGGUGCAUAGUAGUGGAAAAGAAUGCACUGGCUGGUGCGUUAUGUCAAUGGUUUGAUAACCAUGAAAAAAAC